rnacentral:rRNA from 1 species
CUGGCACUGAGAUACGGGCCAGACUCCUACGGGAGGCAGCAGUAGGGAAUAUUGGUCAAUGGGCGCAAGCCUGAACCAGCCAUGCCGCGUGCAGGAUGAAGGCUCUCUGAGUUGUAAACUGCUUUUGUACAGGAGCAAAACAAUCCCUGCGGGGGUUCUUGAGCGUACUGUAAGAAUAAGCACCGGCUAAUUCCGUGCCAGCAGCCGCGGUAAUACGGAAGGUGCAAGCGUUAUCCGGUUUUAUUGGGUUUAAAGGGUGCGUAGGCGGUUUAUUAAGUCAGUUGUGAAAUCCUAGUGCUUAACGCUAGAACUGCGAUUGAUACUAAUAGACUUGAGUUAAGAAGAGGUAAGUAGAAUUUAUGGUGUAGUAGUGAAAUGCUUAGAUAUCAUAAGGAAUACCAAUAGCGUAGGCAGCUUACUGGUCUUUAACUGACGCUGAGGCACGAAAGCGUGGGGAGCAAACAGGAUUAGAUACCCUGGUAGUCCACGCCGUAAACGAUGAUCACUCGAUAUACGUGAAUUUUCAUGUGUGUCUAAGCGAAAGCGUUAAGUGAUCCACCUGGGGAGUAUACCCGCAAGGGUGAAACUCAAAGGAAUUGACGGGGGUCCGCACAAGCGGUGGAGUAUGUGGUUUAAUUCGAUAAUACGCGAGGAACCUUACCUGGGCUAGAAUGUAUUUUGCUACUUCAAGAAAUUGAGGGUUCCUUUGGGACAAAAUACAAGGUGCUGCAUGGCUGUCGUCAGCUCGUGCCGUGAGGUGUUAGGUUAAGUCCUAUAACGAGCGAAACCCUUUUACUUAAUUGCCAGCACGUAAUGGUGGGAACUUUAAGUAGACUGCCCGUGUAAGCGGGAGGAAGGAGAGGAUGAGGUCAAGUCAUCAUGGCCUUUAUGCCCAGGGCUACAC